CCCAACUAAAAAAGACGCUGCUCAACGGUCUGCCUUAUAUAAGAGGGUGUUGCGCAACACCCUCCGUAAGUAGGUCAACCGUCUUUUCACUGUUCGUCUUUUCACUGUGUUCGUCUAUGUGAAUUAAGCUCGAACAGUCCCCUUCCUAUACAAUCAAAUAAAUUUUAAAUAAAAAUACUAUAAAAUAGAAUAAAACUGAGGCGAGCUUGGUAAAAUAAAAAAAAUAAAAAUAUAAAAUAAUUCUUAAAAAAUAAAAAAUAAUAAUACCACUAAAUAAAGCUAAUUACAAAACAAAAAUUGGGGUGGGGAUAGGGUUAGGGUUAGGGUUAGGGCCAGGGGUAACAUACAAAUACACCUAUAAGGGUUAGGGUUAGGGUUAGGGUCUGGGGUAACACACACACACACACACCUAUGGUUAGGGUUAGGGUUAGGGUCAGGGGUCAGGGUUAGAGGGUUAGGGUUAGGGUUAGGAAAAGGGGUGGGGUAAAAAUACCGUCCUCCCCUAGUGGGAGGAAUCGGAAAAGCACGCUCCACCCUAGGGUCAUCCCUGGUGCCCCGGUCCUUUGAUCUCUCCUUAUUGUUUUUACCGUGGGCCUUAGCUUCUGGGUUACAACACCUUUGGUUGCGGGAGCGACCUCUUUUCCCGCAAUGGACCGUUGUCCAUCCCUCUGUUCGGGGUUUAAUUCCAAAUCUGGCUUGUUUUUGGUUGCGGGAGCGACCUCUUCUCCCGUAAUGGACCGCUGUCCAGUCCUCCGUACGGGGCUCCAUUCCAAAUGUUCUUCUUAGCUUGUCCCCAAGCAAAUCAAAGAGAAAAAAAGAAAAAAAGCAAU